GUCUCGGUAGAGCAGUGGUUUAGCUUGUCUGCUUCCCAUGAUCCAUGUGAGAUAGCAGGAGACACGGGUUCGAAUCCCGUCCGGGACA
rnacentral:tRNA from 1 species